rnacentral:rRNA from 1 species
AUUGAACGCUGGCGGCAGGCCUAACACAUGCAAGUCGAACGAGUGGCGGACGGGUGAGUAAUGUCUGGGAAACUGCCUGAUGGAGGGGGAUAACUACUGGAAACGGUAGCUAAUACCGCAUACCAUCAGAUGUGCCCAUAUGGGAUUAGCUAGUUGGUGGGGUAACGGCUCACCAAGGCGACGAUCCCUAGCUGGUCUGAGAGGAUGACCAGAAACACUGGAACGGAGAAACGGUCAAGACUCAUACGGAAGGCAGCAGGAGGAAAUAUUGCACAAUGGGCGCAAGCCUAAUGCAGCCAUGCCGCGGGUAUGAAGAAGGCCUUCGGGUUGUAGAGUACUUUAAGUUGGGAGGCGUUACCAACAGAAUAAGCACCGGCUAACUUCGUGCCAGCAGCCGCGGUAAUAC